UGGGGAAUAUUGCACAAUGGGCGCAAGCCUGAUGCAGCCAUGCCGCGUGUGUGAAGAAGGCCUUCGGGUUGUAAAGCACUUUCAGCGGGGAGGAAGGCGGUGAGGUUAAUAACCUCAUCGAUUGACGUUACCCGCAGAAGAAGCACCGGCUAACUCCGUGCCAGCAGCCGCGGUAAUACGGAGGGUGCAAGCGUUAAUCGAAUUACUGGGCGUAAAGCGCACGCAGGCGGUCUGUCAAGUCGGAUGUGAAAUCCCCGGGCUCAACCUGGGAACUGCAUUCGAAACUGGCAGGCUAGAGUCUUGUAGAGGGGGGUAGAAUUCCAGGUGUAGCGGUGAAAUGCGUAGAGAUCUGGAGGAAUACCGGUGGCGAAGGCGGCCCCCUGGACAAAGACUGACGCUCAGGUGCGAAAGCGUGGGGAGCAAACAGG
rnacentral:rRNA from 1 species